rnacentral:lncRNA from 1 species
UUAACAAGAAUAAACCGAUAACCAUAGGGUAUCCCUAGUCCUAAUGAUAUUUGCUGUGGUUUCACUGUGUAAAAACCUUAACAAAUGAAAUCCUAUUAAUCAUUAACCAUACAUCAAUCUUGAUUUUUCUGAUAAAGAAAGCAUUACGCAAAUUACAUAGUGAAAUUAACAACAAAUAACAUGUAUUAAGGAAAUUAUAACU